rnacentral:piRNA from 1 species
UCAGUAAGUCAGCAAUUGUUUUCUGUGGC